rnacentral:rRNA from 1 species
GACUGUGCAAAGGUAGCAUAAUUAUUAGUUUUUUAAUUGAAAGCUUGUAUGAAGGGUUGGACGAGAUAAAAUCUGUCUUUAUUUAAAUUACAAUAGAAUUUAACUUUUAAGUCAAAAGGCUUAAAUGUAUAUAAAAGACGAGAAGACCCUAUAGAUCUUUAUUUAAUUAAUAUUUUGAUAAUUUAAGAUUAUUUUAGUUUAAAGUUUUAAUUAAAUUUUAUUGGGGUAAUAUAAAGAUUAAAUAAAUUCUUUUUAUUUAUUACAUUGAUUUAUGAAUAUAUGAUCCAAUAUUAUUGAUUAUAAGAUUAAGUUACCUUAGGGAUAACAGCGUAAUUUUUUUGGAGAGCUCAUAUCGAUAAAAAAGUUUGCGACCUCGAUGUUGGAUUAAAAAUUAGCUUGGGUGCAGAAGCUCAAGAUUUUGGUCUGUUCGACCAUUAAAUUUUUACAUGAUCUGAGUUCAGACCGGCGUAAGCCAGGUCGGUUUCUAUCUUUAUUUAUCUAAAAUAUUUUAGUACGAGAGGACCAAAUAUUUAAUAUAAUUAUAUUUAUUUUUUGAAUAAUAUU